GCACCAACAAAUAUACAUCUUUCAUCUGGAUUAAAUCAAAGGUUGUAUAUUAACACCCUUUAAAACCUCUUAUAAAGAAUAAAACGCUCAGGCUUACAUUUAACCCUUCAUUUAAUCCUAAUACGAGCUUUACAGUAAUGUAUAUGUAUUAGACGGAUGACUGUGUAAUGACCGUGUGUGUGUGUUUUGUUUUUGUUUUUAUUUAUGGAGUGAAGAAAUAAAAGUAUAAAAUCCCUGACGUGCGAGUCCAUCACGACAGACGAUCAGAAUCACUCACAGGUAAUUAAGGCUUUAAUUACAGAUUAAGAUAGCAAGAGCAGGUUUAAAACGAAGCGGUGCAACACAGAUCCUCGAUCUGUCGUUGCGUGCGUUUAUUGUAUUUCCUGCUCGAACGCACCAGUGUUGACUCGAGGCGUCCGGUUAAUUAGUUUAGCUUAAUUAGACGAGUUGUGUUUAAGAAGAAAGUUAAAGGACAAAUAAAUAAAUAAAUAAAUAAAGCUGUACUGUAAUCUAACGCAGUUUCUUCCUCGAUGGAUUUCUAAAUGUUAGCCUUAUUAGGCGUUUGUCAGACUUCCAAACGAUCACGGAUACAACAGCUAAACUUGACAUUGGAGGUAAUCUCCAGAGAGAAAAAUUGGCCUCAUUUCAGAAAUUGGCCUCAUUACACCAGACCAAGCUGAUUACACACAACACACACACACACACACAUAUAUAUCUCAACACAAAAACGAACACACUCAUGGCUCUCUCUCUCUCUCUCUCCACCGCCACUCACUGUUGUUGCAGGAGGUCUUAUCGGGUAGUGAGUAGCCCAGGUUGGUCAUUUCCUGUUUGGCCUGCAGCGAGCUCUUCCACUGGGCCUCGGGCAGAUCCACCGCCAGCUCGUGGAUGCUGUUGGAGUGGAGGAUCUGCGUGGUGGCGUACGGAGUGGCCUGCGACGCCGGGCUCGCGCUGCCAAAUCCUGCCUUAGUCGUGAAGUCGAUGCUGCUGUAGAUGGCGCCGUCAGACAUCAUGGUACCCGUUUUAUCCGUCUGACCGGCAGGCAUGACGUCUGGAAAACAGAGAGAGAAAGAGAGAGAGACAGAGAGAUGAAAU
ensembl:lncRNA